rnacentral:rRNA from 1 species
GAUGAACGCUAGCGGCAGGCCUAAUACAUGCAAGUCGAACGGUGUCUUCGGACAUAGUGGCGCACGGGUGCGUAACACGUAUGCAACCUACCUUACAUUGGGGGAUAGCCUUUCGAAAGGGAGAUUAAUACCGCAUAAGACAGUAGCUGGGCAUCCAGCAGCUGUUAAAGAUUUAUCGAUGUAAGCUGGGCAUGCGUCCAAUUAGCUAGUUGGUGAGGUAACGGCUCACCAAGGCAAUGAUUGGUAGGGGAACUGAGAGGUCAAUCCCCCACACUGGCACUGAGAUACGGGCCAGACUCCUACGGGAGGCAGCAGUAGGGAAUAUUGGGCAAUGGACGCAAGUCAGACCCAGCCAUGCCGCGUGCAGGAUGAAGGCGUUAUGCGUUGUAAACUGCUUUUAUACAGGAAGAAACGACUCUUGCGAGAGGCAUUGACGGUACUGUAUGAAUAAGGAUCGGCUAACUCCGUGCCAGCCGCCGCAGUAAGAC